GAUGAACGCAGGCGGCGUGCCUAAUACAUGCAAGUCGAGCGAACAGAUGAGAAGCUUGCUUCUCUGAUGUUAGCGGCGGACGGGUGAGUAACACGUGGGUAACCUACCUAUAAGACUGGGAUAACUCCGGGAAACCGGGGCUAAUACCCGAUAAUAUUUUGAACCGCAUGGUUCAAUAGUGAAAGACGGUUUCGGCUGUCACUUAUAGAUGGACCCGCGCCGUAUUAGCUAGUUGGUAAGGUAACGGCUUACCAAGGCGACGAUACGUAGCCGACCUGAGGGGUUGAUCGGCCAAACUGGAACUGAGACACGGUCCAGACUCCUACGGGAGGCAGCAGUAGGGAAUCUUCCGCAAUGGGCGAAAGCCUGACGGAGCAACGCCGCGUGAGUGAUGAAGGUCUUCGGAUCGUAAAACUCUGUUGUUAGGGAAGAACAAAUUUGUUAGUAACUGAACAAGUCUUGACGGUACCUAACCAGAAAGCCACGGCUAACUACGUGCCAGCAGCCGCCGUAA
rnacentral:rRNA from 1 species